rnacentral:rRNA from 1 species
AGUGAACGCUGGCGGUAGGCCUAACACAUGCAAGUCGAACGGCAGCACAGUAAGAGCUUGCUCUUACGGGUGGCGAGUGGCGGACGGGCGAGGAAUACAUCGGAAUCUACUUUUUCGUGGGGGAUAACGUAGGGAAACUUACGCUAAUACCGCAUACGACCUACGGGUGAAAGCAGGGGAUCUUCGGACCUUGCGCGAUUGAAUGAGCCGAUGUCGGAUUAGCUAGUUGGCGGGGUAAAGGCCCACCAAGGCGACGAUCCGUAGCUGGUCUGAGAGGAUGAUCAGCCACACUGGAACUGAGACACGGUCCAGACUCCUACGGGAGGCAGCAGUGGGGAAUAUUGGACAAUGGGCGCAAGCCUGAUCCAGCCAUACCGCGUGAGUGAAGAAGGCCUUCGGGUUGUAAAGCCCUUUUGUUGGGAAAGAAAAGCAGCAGGUUAAUACCCCGCUGUUCUGACGGUACCCAAAGAAUAAGCACCGGCUAACUUCGUG